UUCGGCGGCCAUAGCGCGAGGGAAACGCCCGGACACAUUCCGAACCCGGAAGCUAAGACUCGCAGCGCCGAUGGUACUGCAGGGGGGACCCUGUGGGAGAGUAGGACACCGCCGGACAACCAUUCCCGAAGAGCCGCCCACCACGUGGGCGGCUCUUCGCAUUUAACACACC
rnacentral:rRNA from 1 species